UUUAUCAAGAAAGGUGGAGGGACUGGCCCUAUGAAGCCUAGCAACAGCUAACUUUAUAAGUUAGAAUUGUGCUAAAUCCUGCAAGGAAAUUUAUAUAAA
rnacentral:ncRNA from 1 species